rnacentral:rRNA from 1 species
AUUGAACGCUGGCGGCAUGCCUUACACAUGCAAGUCGAACGGCAGCACGGGGGCAACCCUGGUGGCGAGUGGCGAACGGGUGAGUAAUACAUCGGAACGUGCCCAGUAGUGGGGGAUAGCCCGGCGAAAGCCGGAUUAAUACCGCAUACGACCUACGGGUGAAAGCGGGGGAUCGCAAGACCUCGUGCUACCGGAGCGGCCGAUGUCAGAUUAGGUUGUUGGUGGGGUAAAAGCCUACCAAGCCGACGAUCUGUAGCUGGUCUGAGAGGACGACCAGCCACACUGGGACUGAGACACGGCCCAGACUCCUACGGGAGGCAGCAGUGGGGAAUUUUGGACAAUGGGCGCAAGCCUGAUCCAGCCAUGCCGCGUGC